rnacentral:lncRNA from 1 species
GGACAAACGAGAGGACCAGACAGCUGGAACUGUAACUUCAAUACGCACUGGCACUUGUGUUUUUAAGCCUGCUGAGGGAAUUAACGUUCAACAGCUGUGCGUAUUCACACUGCUGAAUGCGUAUUACACAAUAUUCUCAGACAUUCUCCUACGCAGAGCAGCAGUAUUGGCCCAUCGGGUGACUCACGAGGUUUCAACACAAGCCGCCAGAGAAAGGGAGCUAUCAAGAUUUUGGUGAUGAGAGAAACUGUAGCACAUGGUGAAAGAUGUUGCAGGUCUACGGAUCUCAGCGCAAUUUGUUCAGUAUAUGGAACAAUGCAAUGAGUAUUCCAACCCUGAGCAGCUGGGAAAGGAGGACGUGAAAACUGAGGAGGGAGCCAGGUAAGUUCACACUUGAAUAAUAGAUUCUCUUGGUAAUAAAACCACAGAGAGAGCCAGUGCUUGCCCAGGUCUAGAGCUAUUAAGAACUCCAUUGAAACUCCACCGGCUUAGAGUUCCUUCUAUGCCAAACUCGCGCACACCUCUUCUGAGAGCAAGGCCCUCCUUUUCUGUUAGCUGAGUCAGGGCUACCAACGUGGGCAUGUGCACACAAAUCUAUUGGGGUACCAAAAAGAGAGAAUUGUCUUUAAUAAUUAUUUGUCUUCAUCUUCCUAACUUUCUAUUCUUGAACAGGUUCUAGGAUGUACAUUAUAUAUUAGUACAGCAGUGAUGAGUUUUCAUUUUGACAGAAAGUGCUAAAAAAAAAUUCAUACU